GAUGAACGCUAGCGGCAGGCCUAAUACAUGCAAGUCGAACGGUAAGGCCCUUUCGGGGGUACACGAGUGGCGGACGGGUGCGUAACGCGUAUGCAACAUGCCUUCCAGCGGGGGGAUAUACCAGGGAAACUUGGCGCAAUACCCCAUAGAAUUACGGGACCGCAUGGUCUUGUGAUUAAAACUCCGGUGCUGGGAGAUUGGCAUGCGUGACAUUAGCUAGUUGGCGGGGUAACGGCCCACCAAGGCGACGAUGUCUAGCUGGUCUGAGAGGACGAUCAGCCACACUGGGACUGAGACACGGCCCAGACUCCUACGGGAGGCAGCAGUGGGGAAUUUUGGACAAUGGGCGAAAGCCUGAUCCAGCCAUUCCGCGUGAGUGAAGAAGGCCUCGGUUGUAA
rnacentral:rRNA from 1 species